CUGCUCUCCGUUUUGCGGCAAUGCCCACGAUGUUGUGCCUGCGCACGCGUUACUAAACGCAGCGACCGUGAAAGACUCGACAUUCCUCAUGGUUAUGCGAAAGAACGUGAAGCAUCGCUUUCGUGAUGAUGCGAUCCAUUGUACAUAUUAUGUGCGGUAAAAUUUAUUGGGAAAGGCUAUUAUAUCGUGCGUGCUGGACGAAGUAAUCAUUAGGAAACGACAUAACAUGGUUACAAGCACGAAUAAAACAGAUUCAUCCAGGAAUGACAUCGGGAUAGAUUUAUGUGCGAUGCGCGACAUUCGAUGUAUCAAUACUCCAGAGAUAAUUGCAGGCGCCAACAUUAUCAACAGUUUAGUGUUGUAUUGUCGGUAAUAAAAUAAUUUGGUAAAAAUGUU